UGAAUAACCAAUUGGUGGGCUUUUCCCUAA
rnacentral:piRNA from 1 species